UACGGAGGGUGCAAGCGUUGUUCGGAAUUAUUGGGCGUAAAGCGCGUGUAGGCGGUCUUUUAAGUCUGAUGUGAAAGCCCCGGGCUCAACCUGGGAAGUGCAUUGGAAACUGGGAGACUUGAGUACGGGAGAGGAGAGUGGAAUUCCUAGUGUAGGAGUGAAAUCCGUAGAUAUUAGGAGGAACACCGGUGGCGAAGGCGGCUCUCUGGACCGAUACUGACGCUGAGACGCGAAAGCGUGGGUAGCAAACAGGAUUAGAUACCCUGGUAGUCCACGCCGUAAACGAUGAGUACUAGGUGUUGCGGGUAUUGACCCCUGCAGUGCCGUAGCUAACGCAUUAAGUACUCCGCCUGGGAAGUACGGUCGCAGGACUAAA
rnacentral:rRNA from 1 species